AGCGAACGCUGGCGGCAGGCUUAACACAUGCAAGUCGAGCGGGCACUUCGGUGUCAGCGGCAGGCGGGUGAGUAACACGUGGGAACGUACCCUUCGGUUCGGAAUAACGCUGGGAAACUAGCGCUAAUACCGGAUACGCCCUUUUGGGGAAAGGUUUACUGCCGAAGGAUCGGCCCGCGUCUGAUUAGCUAGUUGGUGGGGUAAUGGCCUACCAAGGCGACGAUCAGUAGCUGGUCUGAGAGGAUGAUCAGCCACACUGGGACUGAGACACGGCCCAGACUCCUACGGGAGGCAGCAGUGGGGAAUAUUGGACAAUGGGCGCAAGCCUGAUCCAGCCAUGCCGCGCGAGUGAUGAAGGCCUUAGGGUUGUAAAGCUCUUUUGUCCGGGACGAUAAUGACGGUACCGGAAGAAUAAGCCCCGGCUAACUUCGUG
rnacentral:rRNA from 1 species